UACGGCUACCUUGUUACGACUUCACCCCAGUCGCUGACCUUACCGUGGCCUGCUGCCUCCUAAGUUAGCACACAGUCUUCGGGUAAAACCAACUCCCAUGGUGUGACGGGCGGUGUGUACAAGGCCCGGGAACGUAUUCACCGUGGCAUGCUGAUCCACGAUUACUAGCGAUUCCAACUUCAUGCUCUCGAGUUGCAGAGAACAAUCCGAACUGAGACGGCUUUUAGAGAUUAGCUCCCCAUUGCUGAGUGGCUGCUCACUGUCACCGCCAUUGUAGCACGUGUGUAGCCCAGCCCGUAAGGGCCAUGAUGAUUUGACGUCAUCCCCACCUUCCUCCGGCUUAUCACCGGCAGUCCCUCUAGAGUGCCCAACUUAAUGCUGGCAACUAAAGGCGAGGGUUGCGCUCGUUGCGGGACUUAACCCAACAUCUCACGACACGAGCUGACGACAACCAUGCAGCACCUGUCACCGGUCCAGCCGAACUGAAGGAAACCAUCUCUGGUAACCGCGACCGGGAUGUCAAAAGCUGGUAAGGUUCUUCGCGUUGCCUCGAAUUAAACCACAUGCUCCACCGCUUGUGCGGGCCCCCGUCAAUUCCUUUGAGUUUUAGUCUUGCGACCGUAGUCCCCAGGCGGGGUGCUUAACGCGUUAGCUGCGUCACCAAACAGCAAGCUGCCUGACAACUAGCACCCAUCGUUU
rnacentral:rRNA from 1 species